AUGAAAAAGUGUUCUGGUAUCAUUGGAUUGGAGAAACUGACCCACUGGAACAUAAAACAUACUUGGUUCAAAUGGCUUCAUCCAGAUUUGAGAAGUCAUUCGAGAGUGUUUGAAACCAAGGAAAACAUAAGAGAGCCUUUGUUAUCCUUGUACACUCUUUUCCCCACGUCCGACCCUUCAAUGAAGAACAAAGUCUGCGUUCUUAAAAAUAUGUUAAGAAUUUCAUCUGUAAUGUUUGUCUAUGAAGAACAUAAAAAUGCCUUUGAAUGGGGUAAGUGCCAAUCUUAUUUUACCAAGCCAAGGGGGAAAAAAAAAUCCCUAUUCUUGGGUUUCCACCUAGAGAAAUGCUAG
rnacentral:lncRNA from 1 species